rnacentral:rRNA from 1 species
UGAGGAAUAUUGCUCAAUGGGCGAAAGCCUGAAGCAGCAACGCCGCGUGCGCGAUGAAGGUCUUCGGAUCGUAAAGCGCUUUUGAGAGGGACGAGAUAGGACGGUACCUCUUGAAUAAGUCACGGCUAACUACGUGCCAGCAGCCGCGGUAAAACGUAGGUGGCAAGCGUUAUCCGGAUUCACUGGGCGUAAAGCGCGUGCAGGUGGCUUCGUAAGUUGGACGUUAAAUCUUUCGGCCUAACCGGGAGGUGUCGUUCAAUACUGCGGGGCUUGAGGGUAGAAGAGGGUGGUGGAAUUGCCGGUGUAGUGGUGAAAUGCGUAGAUAUCGGCAGGAACACCUGUGGCGAAAGCGGCCCCCUGGUCUGCUCCUGACACUCAGACGCGAAAGCUAGGGGAGUGAACG